GUGGACACAGAGCACUUGUCUUGGUUCCUCUCAGAGCCCAAGGCCAGCGCAGGACCGUCGACCAGAGGCCACACGGUUGUAUUCCAGGAAGCCCAGGUCCGGUCCCCAGUAGCAGACAGAAUGGCAGAACAGGGGCGCCUGAGGACAGCCCUCCAGGGGAUGAAGGUCCUGCAGCCGCGACUCCUCCUGCUGCAGCCCUGUCCUGGGCCCCGACUCCAGCACUCAGUGCUUGCUCUAGACCGAGUGGGCACGGGCAGGGUCCUCACCAGAGCCACAGAGAGGAGACAGCUCAAGUGCCAUGGGUCCAAGUGGCGGAAGGGACGGGCCAACCUGCCGCAGAGCAUGCUUUGUUAUGAAGAGCAGCAAGGUGCCCAUCCGUGCCACAACUCGGGGACCCUGAGACACAGCACAGGUGUCUCAGAGCACCACCAGGUGUGAGAUGUCCAGGGCAGUCGCUCUGUGGACAGGGGGCAGACUCAGGGCCGGGUGCUGGGGCAGGCCUGUGCCCGCACUGGCUGGGGAGCUUCUUUUGGGGGUGAUGAAAGGUCCUCAAACCAAUCGAUUGUGGGGCUACAUGGAAAACCAUUGCCUGGUGCCUUCACCUGAGUGACUUCAUGUUCUGUGGAGUCCAUUUCAACAAGGCCGCUGUCCCCAGCCAGAAAGAAGAGCAUGUCCCCUCUCAACAGCCCAAGUGUCCUGAAGUGAAUUUCACAGCCAUGGGUCUGCUUGGGUUUCUGAGGGACAUUUUUAUGUUCAACAGCUUUGAGCUUGAUCCUCAAGGUCCACUCUGCCCUCUGAAGGAAGCCUCCGCUUGCCUCCCACUGCCUGUCCCCACUGGAGUGACCCUAUCUGUGACCCUCGGCCCUCCCUGCUCCACGCCCAGGCUUCCCCCUCCUGUGCCCACAGGCUCAGCUGCUGCCAGCUCCCGGAUGCCAGAGCUGCCACCUGGGGCCCUGGCCACACUGGCCACAAUGUUGUGAUGUGUUUGGAUGAGGAGUGGUUUGGUGCCAGCGUUGCCAGGCUCCGAGGGUGACUAAUCCCAUCUGCAUUUUUGGUUUCAGCUGCCUGAGCUGUUCAGCUGAAGGACCUCAGAGAGGUCACCUCCUCCCAGGCAUGAAUGCCUGAGCUCAGGCCCAUCCCGAAGGCCCCUCGGCCACUCCGGACACACAAGUAUGUCCAGCAAGCCUCUGCUGGGCCCGGCUGUGUGCUGCCCGCCAUCCCGAGGACACGGGUUCUUGCUUUAACAGAAUAACAAAAACUUCGAUGGGAAGGAAAGACGGAAAAGAGCCCGGGACAGAGGGGUGUCCCGAUACCCCGGUGCUGUCAGACACCGGCCUCGGGCCACUGGGCCUCCAUGUUGGGUGUCCAUGGUUCCCUGUCCGUGGCCAACUAACUAUGGGGCAAAAAAAAUUUUUUAAAUCACAUCUGUACUAAACCUGCACAGACUGGCUUUUCUUGCCAUCAUUCCCUAAACGAUUCCGUGUGACAACUGUUUACACAGCUCGGCCUGCACUGGGCACGGGAGGGGAUGGGAGUGCACGGAGGACGUGCAGGUUCUAGGCAGAGACAGGCCUCUCACGGAAGGGGCUUGACACCCUGGGGACAACAGGGCACCACUGGACUUAGACAGGCUGCCCGCUGGGUGGCCGGGGUGGUGAGGAGGCAGCCUCUCUAGGAGGUGGCUGAGGAGAGCCCUGAAGAGGGAAGGACUCCCAGACCAGGUGCCCUCCUCUCGGCCACGGAGCAAGGACGCCAGCAAGACUGGGGCGGCAGCAGGCCGGUGUCCCAGGGCCUCUCUCGGGUGUCCCAGGGCCUCUCUGAUUUCCAGGGGCUGCGGGAAGCCACGGAGGCUCACAGGAGAACAGGAUCUGGCUUUCAUUUCCUAAGGGCCACUCUGGCUGCGGGUGGGGAAUGGACAGGUGUGGAGACCAGGAUGGCUGGGGCAGGACAGCCUUCAGUCCUACCUGGGCCUAAGCCCUGAACUUGUUUCCUGUCCACAGGAGGCCAACAGGUCCAGGGGAGGCCCCUCAUUCCAGGAGAGCCGGCGGCCAUCUCAACACCUCUAUUGCCCCCGAAAUCUUCAUUUAAAUCAGUUGCUAUUAUUUCGACUUAAAUAACUUACCUUUUAAAGGAAAUUAUAUCACAGCCAAAGGUCAUGGUUUGAUGAACAAAUUUUGCUUCUUUUUUCUAAUCCACAAUGUGAGUGACAACUGUUUACAAAGUUUUGAAAUUAACAUGUAAACAUAAUCUUAAGACUAAAAAUGAAUAGUGAAACUUUAAGUAUAAAAGUUUACCAGGAACAUGAGAGUAAUGCAUUAAUUAUUUUUUCCAAUUCCUAGUAAAUACUUGAUUUAAAAAAAAAAAAAAAAGCAUUU